rnacentral:rRNA from 1 species
UGGGGAAUUUUGGACAAUGGGCGAAAGCCUGAUCCAGCAAUGCCGCGUGUGUGAAGAAGGCCUUCGGGUUGUAAAGCACUUUUGUCCGGAAAGAAAUCCUUGGCUCUAAUACAGUCGGGGGAUGACGGUACCGGAAGAAUAAGCACCGGCUAACUACGUGCCAGCAGCCGCGGUAAUACGUAGGGUGCAAGCGUUAAUCGGAAUUACUGGGCGUAAAGCGUGCGCAGGCGGUUUGCUAAGACCGAUGUGAAAUCCCCGGGCUCAACCUGGGAACUGCAUUGGUGACUGGCAGGCUAGAGUAUGGCAGAGGGGGGUAGAAUUCCACGUGUAGCAGUGAAAUGCGUAGAGAUGUGGAGGAAUACCGAUGGCGAAGGCAGCCCCCUGGGCCAAUACUGACGCUCAUGCACGAAAGCGUGGGAAGCAAACAGGAUUAGAUACCCUGGUAGUCCACGCCCUAAAACGAUGUCAACUAGUUGUUGGGGAUUCAUUUCCUUAGUAACGUAGCUAACGCGUGAAGUUGACCGCCUGGGGAGUACGGUCGCAAGAUUAAAACUCAAAGGAAUUGACGGGGUCAUAGCUGUUUCCU